AGCGUUGUCCGGAAUUAUUGGGCGUAAAGAGCUCGUAGGCGGUUUGUCGCGUCUGCUGUGAAAACGCGAGGCUCAACCUCGCGCCUGCAGUGGGUACGGGCAAACUAGAGUGCGGUAGGGGAGAUUGGAAUUCCUGGUGUAGCGGUGGAAUGCGCAGAUAUCAGGAGGAACACCGAUGGCGAAGGCAGAUCUCUGGGCCGUAACUGACGCUGAGGAGCGAAAGCAUGGGGAGCGAACAGGAUUAGAUACCCUGGUAGUCCAUGCCGUAAACGUUGGGAACUAGAUGUAGGGACCAUUCCACGGUUUCUGUGUCGCAGCUAACGCAUUAAGUUCCCCGCCUGGGGAGUACGGUCGCAAGACUAAAACUCAAAGGAAUUGACGGGGGCCCGCACAAGCGGCGGAGCAUGCGGAUUAAUUCGAUGCAACGCGAAGAACCUUACCAAGGCUUGACAUAUAGAGGAAACGUGCAGAAAUGUACGCCCCGCAAGGUCUCUAUACAGGUGGUGCAUGGUUGUCGUCAGCUCGUGUCGUGAGAUGUUGGGUUAAGUCCCGCAACGAGCGCAACCCUCGUCCUAUGUUGCCAGCACGUAAUGGUGGGAACUCAUGGGAGACUGCCGGGGUCAACUCGGAGGAAGGUGGGGAUGACGUCAAAUCAUCAUGCCCCUUAUGUCUUGGGCUUCACGCAUGCUACAAUGGCCGGUACAAAGGGCUGCAAUACCGCAAGGUGGAGCGAAUCCCAAAAAGCCGGUCUCAGUUCGGAUUGGGGUCUGCAACUCGACCCCAUGAAGUUGGAGUCGCUAGUAAUCGUGAAUCAGCAACGUCACG
rnacentral:rRNA from 1 species